rnacentral:rRNA from 1 species
CUCGUAGGUGGCCAACUAAGUCAGACGUGAAAUCCCUCAGCUUAACUGGGGAACUGCGUCUGAUACUGGAUGGCUUGAGUUUGGGAGAGGGAUGCGGAAUUCCAGGUGUAGCGGUGAAAUGCGUAGAUAUCUGGAGGAACACCGGUGGCGAAGGCGGCAUCCUGGACCAACACUGACACUGAGGAGCGAAAGCCAGGGGAGCAAACG